AUUUCAGAGAUAAAUCCUACUCAAACUAUUGUUGUAUAAGUUGUCUAGAAAAUCGUUCUCAUUAUUUGAACAGAAUACAUUACUGUACUUUGUGAAAGUGCACUCUUUUUGUUUUUAAAAAUGGCAGUAGGAAUUCUUUGUACAUAAGGGGUUAAAAUUACCACAACGGAAAGGCAGCAUACGAAAUUAUUAUUUAUUUUAAAGUUAGUAUUUUAAUUCAGCAUAAAUUAAUAACUUUUUGUACUGCCUGCAAAAACAUUUGUUGGUCCACGCUCAAUAGGGGAUAUGAAAGAGGUUGGGUUUGGAGACUGUUGGUGUCGUAUUUGUUACAGGAAAUGCAAAGUGCGCAGCAGUUCAGUUUUCAUACAAAAUACCACAAACGGUACGACUUUGUGUUCCAAAAAUCUUCCAAUAGAUGUUAUAACAAUGUAUUUAUAUUUGUACUAGAAACAAGUAUUAUAUUUGUGCUGUGACCUGUUCUACAUGCAUGGCUUAGGCCUAUGAAGGAUCUAUGGAAUAUUAGAAAUGCUCUGGUGUUCAUAAGAAAUAGUUUUAAAAGGGCAGUGAUUUGAGUCCCGUGUUUAUAUUCGGAUUAGUUUGGAUUUUACAACGUUUAAUCUGAUGAAAGACUCUCGGGCAACGAGCCACGUCAGGUGGCUCAAUGGUUUCGUUUUGCAGCCGCCCCGAGGAUUAGAGCAGAGAUGGCUCUCGAAACGGCAGAAGAAAUGGUUCAUUCACCAUUCAUGUGAUAAGGGAAGCAGGUUUUUCGCUAACUUCAGUUGUUUUGCCACGUAGCAGUAGUGCGACUCACGAGUAAUGAUAUGGUAUUCAGUUGAUUGUUGCAGUGGCAAAAGGUGAUACAAUGAACAACAUAAAAUGUGUGUGUGUGUGUGAGAUAGAAAAAAUAUCAGUGCAUUUAUAAUUACCAGCUGUAAGAAUAUUAGGAAAUGAUGUUACAGAUCGUGCACGGAAGAAAGUUUCUAAAGAAAUUAAAGAUAUAAGCAUGUGA